UUCAUCGUUUUCUACUUCUCCUUUUUCUUCUUCUUCGUCUUCUUCGAUUUCGAUUUCGAGACACGAGCAUGUAAACGGAGCCUCUUUCUAGACGGUAAUUUCCGGGGAAUGCGCCGAUAGCCCUUCUUCGUUCGUGUCGAAAAACGGUGUACCUUUGUACCUCUUUUCUCCUUCUUCCUUUUACCCCAUUUUUGUGAUCGAUGGAAGAUGGUCCAGGAGUAAACACGACCGCUACAAUUAUUUCCAUCUUUUAGCAGUGUUCGUCCAACGUCGGCGUUCAUUCUUUUUGAAAAUAAUUAAAUCCAGGAUCGAAUCGUAAAAUGCGAUGGACGCUCGUAAAGAUAACAGAGAAAAUAAGAAAUGCGAUUCGAAGAUCUGGUGCUCGUUAGUACAGCGAGAAGGGUACAUUGCCUUCGAGAGAAGCAAGGAGAGAAAGAAGAAAAGGAAAACGAGAAGCAGUGAAAGGGAGAAUAGGUACGUAGGGCAGGUAUGCGGGUGAGAAACACCCGAGGCGCAUCCAGAUCCGCCCACGUUUAAGUCGCACACCCGCGUUGCUGGCCGGCACUCUUCCAUCAGGACUUGCCCCUUGGGCUUUUUCGGAAAGAGGGAGAAAGAGAAGGGGAGGGAGAGAAUGAGUCUCCUCCACCUGCAGAGAGAAACACAGCUCGUGCACGCGAUCCACGACCGAACGCCCCCGCGGGCACACGCCGUCAUCGCGCCAGCUUUCAGGAAGGAGGAAGAUCCAAGAAGAAGAAGAAGAAGAAGAAGA